CUAACCUCAGGGGCCUCCAGGCAGAUCAGGAGAGCAGGUCAUUCACCACUCACGAGGACAAAACGAACUGACUCAGCCUUCUUUUGGGGGUAGGGGAUUGAUUCCUGGACCAUUAGGGAGUGUUUAAAAGAGAUUAAUUGGCCACUGGUGGGACCACUCCAGUCACUUUCCAGGCAAGACAGGGCUACCUUCAGCAUCUCUAGUGAAAGUGGUGAAUUAGCACUUCAGAAGUGAGAUGGCAUGGACAGAAGCUUCUGGGGCUGAGCUCACCAUUGGAAGCUUCUUUCCAGCUUCCUGAAGGUCUCUGGAGGUCUCUUCUUACCGGGGAGGAUGAUCCCUGGUGGCUCCCUGCUGACAUUCUUCAAAACUCGGCUAUUUCCCCAGUGUCCUGCUGAUAAAACAGAAGAGGAAAUGAUGAAAAAGGUAGCUGCUUCUCCUUCAUUUUCCACCCUGAUUGCAAGUUUCCUGAGGCCUCAGCAGCCAUGCAGAACUAAGAAGAACCAAAACACAUCUGAUCUGCUCUUAAAGGAAACUCAAUUGUGACAAGCAGAGGAAACUAAAGAGGCUGGCAUGCAGUGGCAUGAUCUCGGCUCACCGCAACCUCUGCCUCCCAGGUGCAACUGAUUAUCCUGCCUCAGCCUCCUGAGUAGCUGGAUUACAGGGCCUGGCCCAUGGCAGGAGCUCAGGAAAUGUCAGAUAAAUGAUUGAAUUUACAAGAACAAGCCCAACAGUUAAGAAAACUUCAGCUCCUGCCUCCUGCCCAUGCAGCCCAGAAGGGCCAGUUUCAUGCCAUGUUUGAUUGCCGCUCCGGUCCCAGGAGGGAUGGAAUCUGCUGUCUCACCAAGACUUGGGCAUGAGGCUGGCCUUCUCCAGAAGCUCCAGGCCCAGAGAAACAAUACAUCUAACCAAAGUCCCCCAGGGAGUCUUGGCACACAGUUGGUGCUCAGUGGACAUUGGAAUGUUUCAACAGCCAUGUCUCCUUGUUGCUGAACUGAGCAACAUCCAUGGACAUCCAUGGGACAGAUGGUUCUCUCUCCAGCAUGGAAUCAGAAGGCCUGGUUUCAAGUUCCAGGACUGUGCCUCAUUCAUUGUGUGUUGCUGGCUGAGUCACUUAACCUGCCUGAGCAAAGAACAGAGAAGCAGUCAGAUUUGGAAUCCACUGGGGAGGCAGGGUUUGUAAAACUUGUUGAUUAAAUGAACAAGAGUAUGUGGGAAUGAGAAGAAUCAAAAUCUAAGCCAAGCAUCUGGCCUGAACAGCUGGGUGGUCAGUGAACCCAUUUCCUGGAAUGAAGAAGAUGGGAAUGCAGGGGUGUUUUUGGAGUGGAGUUUGGGUCAAGAGUUUGGAUUUCUAUGUAAUGGAAGUUGUGGGCAGCCAUUGGAAGGAUAUUGACUUUCCUUCCAAGGAGCUGGAGAGCUUCUUAGAGGCCUUUGUCACACCUACCUGGUUCUCCCAGCUCUCUCCAGCUAACAGCCCAAGUCCUUCUCUCCGGCUACAUGACCCUACACAGUAUGGUCCCCACUGCCUCUCUGCCCACUGCCCAUAGGACUCCUUCUUGCUCUCUGUUGGCCCCUGCUCUAGGAUGUGUCCCUUACUUUCUCAGCAGGACCUUCUCAUCUCCCAGAUACCCACCUGGCUCUCCCAUCACCUCCUUCAAUCUUUGUCUAAAUGUCACCUUCUCAAGAAAACCAAGCCUGGCCACUCCACUCUCUGCAAAAAUAGCAAAACUCUACCCUUCCUCUCUCUAGUAUCCCCUGUCCCUCUCACUGGGUUUAUUUUUCUUCAAAGUACUUACCACAUUCUAAUUCACUCACACCUAGAAUCUCUGCUUCCUCUCACUUGAAUAUAAACUUCAGGACGGCAGGGAUUUUUGUUUGCUUUGUUCACUGCUGUAUCCCCACAGCCGAGAAUGGUGCCCAGCAUGUAGUAGGGCAGGGAUUUUUGUUUGCUUUGUUCACUGCUAUAUUCCCACAGCCGAGAAUGGUGCCUAGCAUGUAGUAGGUGCUCAAUAAAUAUAUGUUAAAUUCAUUGAAA
rnacentral:lncRNA from 1 species